rnacentral:rRNA from 1 species
UUUGGUGAUUUUAGCGAGGAGGAAACACCUGGUCCCAUUCCGAACCCAGCAGUUAAGCUCCUCAGCGCCGAUGGUAGUUGGGGGGCGACCCCCUGCGAGAGUAGGUCAUCGCCAAGA